rnacentral:rRNA from 1 species
CAGCCGCCGCGGGAAAACGGAGGGGGCUAGCGUUGUUCGGAAUUACUGGGCGUAAAGCGCACGUAGGCGGCUUGGUAAGUUAGAGGUGAAAGCCUGGAGCUCAACUCCAGAAUUGCCUUUAAGACUGCCGAGCUAGCAGGUGAGAGAGGUAAGUGGAAUUCCGAGUGUAGAGGUGAAAUUCGUAGAUAUUCGGAAGAACACCAGUGGCGAAGGCGGCUUACUGGCUCAUACUGGACGCUGAGGUGCGAAAGCGUGGGGAGCAAACAGGAUUAGAGACCCCGGUAGUCCCUGUCUCUUAUAC